UCAUACAGUAUUUUGGAGAAGCUAAAGAAAAACACAAACUGGAUGUUCUUUAUUUGAAAAAGAGGGGGGGGGGGAAUGCAGCGUAAAUUAAACUAAAGGUGUACCUGAAAACAAGUGGAACUGAAGGAGAAAUAUUGAAUCCUGAAAGACAACUUGACAAAGAGAAGGUGCUGUCUGCUGUACAUAUUGCAUUUUGUGGCAGUUUCUCUAGAACUGUCAUAUAAAUACUGCUAUUGCUAGAUAGAUAUAUGUAUGUCAUGUCAUUCAAAUAGAUAUAGUUAUAUUAUAUGGUAUAUAAUUUUCUGUGUGUGUGUGGGUGUUUGUAUUGUUUUAAAUCAAUGUUGUGAGAUUUAUUUUGCAUUGUGUGCAGGGGAGACCCGUUUUAAACUGCAUCAGAUGGAUUUCAAAACCGAGACACAGAAAAAAAAAGUUUCAUGAAUAUAUAAUCUGGAAAAGCAAUUGAGCAGGGGGUGUUCGAAGCGCUGUAUACUGAGAACAUGCUUAAUAUAAGAAGAAAAAACAAGAUGACAUCAUAAGCAAAACAUUAUUGAAAUCUCAUAUUUUAAAACAGCAACGCUGCUAUGCCAUUAAGGUACCGGCGUACAUCUGGAAUGUAAAUGAUGCCACAUUAAAAUCGAAGGUAUGAGGAUGAAAAGGAGAGAGAGGAGUGGGGAACAACAAUUGAUGCCCUGAGUACGUAACUAAACCAGGAGACUCCAGCAGACUGAAGAGCAUAGAACAAACCAGAAUCUCACCCCCAGAUCAAACUGCUAAGGCCAAAGAAUGGCUGUGGAGCUGUAAUCGAAUCUGAUGGGAGUCACAGCCUGAUGCAUUGCCAGCAUAUGCAGGAUGAGCCCAGUCUAAGGUUCCAGAACGUCAAUCUCAAGAUGGUACCCCUCAGACGCCAUGAGGGCAGGUGUGCGAUCGACGGGGAAGAGUCGAGCGAGGACCGCGAAGAGAGGAUCUUAGCCAUGCUGGGGAUCAUAGGGACAGUCCUCAACCUGCUGGUGGUUAUAUUCGUUUAUAUCUACACCACCAUCUGACCAGGAAGAAGCAACGAGGAGACAACAAGCAAAGAUGCAAUGAAGAAGACAGUUUGCACAAUGGAAAAUUCAUAAUUGCUCAAGACGUAAGCUGAUACUGUAAAUAUAGCAAGGACUAGUACUAAGGACAGGAAUUUUCAAGUGACCUUUGUGUAUAUAGCAGAGCAUUUGGAAGACUUGGAGGUAUUUCAUUAAUAAAGAGAAGCACAAUUGACAAUGUGUUAAGAGACAAGAGAAGUCAGUCGAAUUGUAAGUGGCAGGUAUUAUGGCUUUGUGGGUGGUAGAAGUUCGGUUGACCUCUGAAGUUGACAAACCCCCAAACUGUGUAGCGAAACUUCAAGAGGGUUUAUCAGCGCCUGUCUCAGAUAGAGUACAGGGGUCCCAGGACUCAGUGGGGUUGAAUCUACACUCUCUUACAAAUAUCUUGUUUUCUACAAAUAAGCUUAAACCGGAGAAGACAUAAGAAAGACAAAACUGCCUGGAAUUGAAUUUAUACUGUACUUCCAACAAAUGGAAUAUGCAUUUGUACUGUUUCUACGCAAAUGUUGAUCCUGAAACUGCCAAAGCUUUAUUAUUAUUAUUAUUAUUAUUAUUAUUAUUAUUAUUAUUAUUAUUAUUAUUAUUAUUAUUAUUUGCCAUAUAUGUGGUAAUAUUAAGAUAAAAUCAUAUUGAAAAUGAUUUUAAAAAUAUCUAAAAAAGACUCCAAUAUCGGUGUCCUACUUUCACAUUUUGAAAUGAUAUGUAGCAAAAGGGUUUCCUUAAAAAAAAAACCCAAUAAUAAUAAUUACUGCCUUGUGGAACUUUUA